rnacentral:rRNA from 1 species
UACGGGGGGGGCAAGCGUUGUUCGGAAUUACUGGGCGUAAAGGGCUCGUAGGCGGCCAACUAAGUCAGACGUGAAAUCCCUCAGCUUAACUGGGGAACUGCGUCUGAUACUGGUUGGCUUGAGUGCAGGAGAGGAACGCGGAAUUCCAGGUGUAGCGGUGAAAUGCGUAGAUAUCUGGAGGAACACCGGUGGCGAAGGCGGCGUUCUGGACUGCAACUGACACUGAGAGACGAAAGCCAGGGGAGCAAACGGG